GUGUACAAAAGAGUGAGAUGAGUGAUGGUAUUUAUAGUAAACAACAAUACAUAAAAUAACAAAGAUGAUGCUUGAUUUGGUAAAUGAGUGGGUGAUCAUAGUGUUUGAGUUGGUAAAGGAGUCGAGUAUCAUUUCGAAGUUUAUUUUAUAACAUACAGCAUAUUUUACUGGUGGAUUCUUAUUGCUAUAGUAAAAGGAAUCAAAGCUUGGAAGGAACAAUUAAUGAAGAUAGAAAGCAAACAUGCAACGAAGCACGGCGCUGCACGUUGUCCAUGUGAAUUGC
rnacentral:lncRNA from 1 species